rnacentral:rRNA from 1 species
UACGGAGGAUGCAAGCGUUAUCCGGAAUGAUUGGGCGUAAAGCGUCCGCAGGUGGCUGUGUAAGUCUGCUGUCAAAGAGCGAAGCUCAACUUCGUAAAGGCAGUGGAAACUACACGGCUAGAGUGCGUUCGGGGCAGAGGGAAUUCCUGGUGUAGCGGUGAAAUGCGCAGAUAUCAGGAGGAACACCAGCGGCGAAGGCGGCGCUCUGGGCCGGUACUGACACUGAGGAGCGAAAGCGUGGGUAGCAAACAGG